GUGGGGAAUAUUGGACAAUGGGCGCAAGCCUGAUCCAGCCAUGCCGCGUGAGUGAUGAAGGCCCUAGGGUUGUAAAGCUCUUUCACCGGAGAAGAUAAUGACGGUAUCCGGAGAAGAAGCCCCGGCUAACUUCGUGCCAGCAGCCGCGGUAAUACGAAGGGGGCUAGCGUUGUUCGGAAUUACUGGGCGUAAAGCGCACGUAGGCGGAUAUUUAAGUCAGGGGUGAAAUCCCGGAGCUCAACUCCGGAACUGCCUUUGAUACUGGGUAUCUCGAGUAUGGAAGAGGUGAGUGGAAUUCCGAGUGUAGAGGUGAAAUUCGUAGAUAUUCGGAGGAACACCAGUGGCGAAGGCGGCUCACUGGUCCAUUACUGACGCUGAGGUGCGAAAGCGUGGGGAGCAAACAGGAUUAGAAACCCGAGUAGUCC
rnacentral:rRNA from 1 species